rnacentral:rRNA from 1 species
UACGUAGGGGGCAAGCGUUGUCCGGAAUCAUUGGGCGUAAAGAGCGCGUAGGCGGCCCUGUAAGUCCGCUGUGAAAGUCCAGGGCUCAACCCUGGGAUGCCGGUGGAUACUGCCGAACUAGAGUGCGGAAGAGGCGAGUGGAAUUCCCGGUGUAGCGGUGAAAUGCGCAGAUAUCGGGAGGAACACCAAUUGCGAAGGCAGCUCGCUGGGACGUUACUGACGCUGAGACGCGAAAGCGUGGGGAGCAAACAGG